GGAACUUCUGCCCUCUUCAUGUUGGAAGGGUUGGGGAGAGUACUUUUAAGUCCCUGCAAGAGGUGGAUUCAAGAAUCAGCAGAAUAAAGAUGAAGGACAUAAAACAAUCAUUUAAAGCAAAGGAUUUCAGAUGCUGGCAUGGUGACCCACCCUCAAGUCAACGAAGCUUCUCUGAGUCACAGUGUGUGUAAAAGUUCUCAAAGCGGUUUACAAAGAAAGAAGAUGGUUCCCUGACCCCAAAGGAUUACAAUCCUUUUAAAGAAAUAGAAGAUAGAUACCAACAACAGCCACUAGAGAACAGUAUGCUGGAGUUCAUAGUCAAUUGCUGAUUCAAGACCAGCACAAGGCCAACUGAGAGUGAGGCUAAUGCUUCUUGUCCUCCUAAAUUUGAAUGAGUGAACACUUGCACCAUGUUCAGGGGCAUGUGAAAGUAUAUAGUCAUUCAGAAUGAGGGCAAGAAGCAUUACUCCCAUUCUCAAUGAGCUUUGUGGUAGACUCACACAGCCAACCUUUUCAGUUCCUGAAAAUUUCAGGCGAGGGGGAUGGCUGAGUGCAGUUUUUGCUAUUGAAAAAUGUUUUUGUGAAAACCACAUUUCCCAUGCUUCCUGCUAAAUCCUAGGCACUGCUGAUGCCAUGCUUAAUGUGAACCUUGUACUACUUAAAUCUAAGCUCCUGUUUUCUGUUAGCAUAUCUUAAGUUCUGCUUAAAGCAAAAUUGAAAUCAUAAGAAGACCAAGAAGAGAGAAAACAAAGAAGUUGGUUUCAAUCAGUGUAUAAAAUACUUAAGGAAAAAAGGAAAAAGAGAUUGGUCUAACGCAAUUGAUGAUCCCUCUGGGAAUUACACUGGAUGUGUUAAGAGAAUUCCCACCACCCCUACAGACCUUAAUCAAUUUAACUGGUUGUGUCUGUUUUUAGAUUUACAAAUGAAAUACAAUACUGCAGAGUAUGAGUUUUUUACAUCAGA